ensembl:lincRNA
AUGAAGGAAAACUGCUUGAAAAGGCCCCUGGCACCUAAUGAACACUUUGUAGGUGUUGGUCGUCAUCAUCACCAUGACUAUCACCCCUAUCACCUCAUCACCAUCAUCACCAUUACAUCAUCAUCGCCUUCAUCACCACCAUCACCAUCACCUCAUCACCAUCACCACCAUCAACCUCCAUCACCCCCAUCACCUCAUCACCAUCACCACCAUCACCUCAUCACCAUCACCACCAUCACCUCAUCACCAUCACCAUUACAUCAUCACCUUCAUCACCACCAUCACCAUCACCUCAUCACCAUUACCACUAUCACCAUCAUCACCUCAUCACCAUUACAUCAUCAUCAUUGCCUUCAUCAGCACCAUUACCAUCACCACCAUCAUCUUUUACUCUUUUCUAUUUUUUAUUUUGUAUUAAAAUUUCACUUUUUGUAACUAUAUUUUAUUUAUUAAAGCUGUUCUAUUUAUUUUUUGAGACAGUCUCGCAAUGUCAACCAGGCUGGAAUGCAAUGUCGUGAUCACAGCUCACUGCAGCCUCAAUCUUUUGGGCUCAAGCGAUGAUGCUCCUGCCUCCUGAAUAGCUGGGAUGAACAGAUGUGCACCACCAUACCCAGCUAUUUUUUUUUUUAUUGUUUUUGUAGAGAUGAGGUCUCACUCUGUUGCCCAGGCUGAUCUCGAACUCCUGGGCUCAAGGGAUCCUCUUGCCUUGGCCUUUCAAAGUGUGAGGAUAACAGGCAGGAGCCACCGAAUCCAAUGACCACCCCCACCCCCAUCACCACUACUGUUAUAGCCCCUGGGUGCAACAAUAUCCCCCCUGGAGUGAGGAGGGAGGGCCCUCUGGUUUGGUCCUUUCUGCUCAUGAGGCUAGGCGAGGGAAAUGUCUUUUCUCCUUUUUCAGCAGCUGGACCCUUGGUGAGGAAAAAGGGUGUUCAAAGACAUUCAUCGAAAACUUGGUGGGAAAUUCACCGCCCAGACACAUGCUGUUUGGUCUGCUCAGUAUCAGCAUGCAUGAACAUGGAAAAUUUGGAAUCAAAUGGCCACUCUUAGGGCUGGAUGUGGUCGUAUGCGCCUAUAGACCCAGCUACUCGGAGGCUGAGGUGGGAGAACUGCUUGAGCCCAGCCGGGGAGGUCCCGGCUGCAGUGAGACGUGUUUGUGCCACUGCAUUCCAGCCUGGGUGACAGUGAGACCCUGUCUCAAAAAAAAAAAGAAAAAAGAAGCCAUUUUUUUAAAACCAGAAGAGUCUACAUGAGAAUCUUGUUUUCUAGCAUAUUUUUUAAAGUCCAAAUAUGUAGCAGCACUGAGCUCAGGAAAUUCAGCGGGUGCCAAGUCACGGCUGCCCUGCAGGGAAGUCAGGCGAUGCGGCCGCCGUCCCCACCUCCCCCUGCUGCCCGGGACUUUGCAGAGUUCUCCCACCUCUCGCCUGAUUCCCACAUUUCACUUCUUGGCCUGGCCCCCACAGGCCUUUUGAGUU